AGAGUUUGAUCCUGGCUCAGAUUGAACGCUGGCGGCAUGCUUUACACAUGCAAGUCGGACGGCAGCACAGAGAAGCUUGCUUCUUGGGUGGCGAGUGGCGAACGGGUGAGUAACAUAUCGGAACGUACCGAGUAAUGGGGGAUAACUAAUCGAAAGAUUAGCUAAUACCGCAUAUUCUCUGAGGAGGAAAGCAGGGGACCUUCGGGCCUUGCGUUAUUCGAGCGGCCGAUAUCUGAUUAGCUAGUUGGUGGGGUAAAGGCCUACCAAGGCGACGAUCAGUAGCGGGUCUGAGAGGAUGAUCCGCCACACUGGGACUGAGACACGGCCCAGACUCCUACGGGAGGCAGCAGUGGGGAAUUUUGGACAAUGGGCGCAAGCCUGAUCCAGCCAUGCCGCGUGUCUGAAGAAGGCCUUCGGGUUGUAAAGGACUUUUGUCAGGGAAGAAAAGGCUGUUGCUAAUACCGACAGUUGAUGACGGUACCUGAAGAAUAAGCACCGGCUAACUACGUGCCAGCAGCCGCGGUAAUACGUAGGGUGCGAGCGUUAAUCGGAAUUACUGGGCGUAAAGCGGGCGCAGACGGUUACUUAAGCAGGAUGUGAAAUCCCCGGGCUCAACCUGGGAACUGCGUUCUGAACUGGGUGACUAGAGUGUGUCAGAGGGAGGUAGAAUUCCACGUGUAGCAGUGAAAUGCGUAGAGAUGUGGAGGAAUACCGAUGGCGAAGGCAGCCUCCUGGGAUAACACUGACGUUCAUGCUCGAAAGCGUGGGUAGCAAACAGGAUUAGAUACCCUGGUAGUCCACGCCCUAAACGAUGUCAAUUAGCUGUUGGGCAACUUGAUUGCUUAGUAGCGUAGCUAACGCGUGAAAUUGACCGCCUGGGGAGUACGGUCGCAAGAUUAAAACUCAAAGGAAUUGACGGGGACCCGCACAAGCGGUGGAUGAUGUGGAUUAAUUCGAUGCAACGCGAAGAACCUUACCUGGUCUUGACAUGUACGGAACCCUCCAGAGACGGAGGGGUGCCUUCGGGAGCCGUAACACAGGUGCUGCAUGGCUGUCG
rnacentral:rRNA from 1 species